GGGAGCGUAGAUAACCUCAAUCGGAUAGAGGCUCGCAAACUAAACGAGUGGAUGCAGGUUCGAGUCCUGCCGCUCCCG
rnacentral:tRNA from 1 species